rnacentral:rRNA from 1 species
AUGUCUGAAUCAGUCAAUUUGAUUGUUUACUAUGGCCCUGGUAAUAUUCGAUAUAAUAAGUUGGGGGUUGAUCUUCGCGAGUAUAAAAAUGGUGUCAUGACACUUUCAAACCCGGACAGGCUGGACAUUAGACAGUUGAAGUACUGGUUGACUACUAGUUUUCGGCUGGAUCCUGAAGUAUGUUCAGUCAGUAUUCAUGCAUUGUGGACCAAAUCAUGUAAACAUGUCAAAUGUGAGUUGAUACUGGUAGAUAGGAGCCAGCAAUGGUUAACCCUGUUAAGGCGUUGCAGAGAUCGAAGAAUACACCCAUAUGCCCUAGUGCAACCUGUGGCGAAGGAGGAAAAUACCGUACAACUUCACGAGGGGUAUGCACCCGGACAAGGCAGUCAAGUGGCUAACGAGAUUUAUUUAUCCGGGUCACAGCUAGUGGAUGUGGAUGCUAGCCAAUCCAAGAAAGAGUCAAAUUACGUGCAACACAAUGUGUGUGGUCAUGAUGCUGGGCAGAGUAGCCAGUCGAUAAUAUUAGCUUGUUCUGGAUUUGCUGAUGGGGAUGAGGAAGGGAAGGAAAUGCAGAGGGUGACGGAGGAAGAGGACGAUGAUGGAUUGGCGGAGAGUCUGGAUUCUAAAAAUUCCGAGGAUGAAGAGGAGGUACCGAUUCCUUCUGCAUGGGAUCAGGACAUAUCAACCAGCCUUACGAUCAAUGAUGGCCAUGAGACUCCAUGGCAGUAUAAUCUGAACCAAGUUCAGAUAGGGGCUAUGUAUGGUACAAAGGAAAAAUUGAAGUAUGCAGUGAGAAAGUGGGUUAUGUCUACGCAGAGGGUUUUUCGGACACAUAUAUCAAGUCCAACAACCUAUACCGUGAAAUGUGUAGAAACAAGUUGUCCUGGGAAGGUGCACGGGCACGUGCCGAAGUAUAACAUCCACUGGGUUGUCACCGAUAUCGUCCCACAUAAUUGUGUGAGGAAAAACCUUCUGGUGAAUCAUCCAAACCUCACUUCACCGCCAUCACCAAAGCAGGAGACACAGACAGUGACAGACGAGGUUAUCUAUGGUCGUGGUUAUCGUGAGCCUCGCCCACCGCCUCAGCGUUUAUCACCUUCCGGUCCUCGUCCGAGGAAGACCCAGAUUCGUCGUCGUCCCCAGCAGUGA